GACGAACGCUGGCGGCGUGCUUAACACAUGCAAGUCGAACGGAAAGGCCCUGCUUUUGUGGGGUGCUCGAGUGGCGAACGGGUGAGUAACACGUGAGUAACCUGCCCUUGACUUUGGGAUAACUUCAGGAAACUGGGGCUAAUACCGGAUAGGAGCUCCUGCUGCAUGGUGGGGGUUGGAAAGUUUCGGCGGUUGGGGAUGGACUCGCGGCUUAUCAGCUUGUUGGUGGGGUAGUGGCUUACCAAGGCUUUGACGGGUAGCCGGCCUGAGAGGGUGACCGGCCACAUUGGGACUGAGAUACGGCCCAGACUCCUACGGGAGGCAGCAGUGGGGAAUAUUGCACAAUGGGCGGAAGCCUGAUGCAGCAACGCCGCGUGCGGGAUGACGGCCUUCGGGUUGUAAACCGCUUUCGCCUGUGACGAAGCGUGAGUGACGGUAAUGGGUAAAGAAGCACCGGCUAACUACGUGCCAGCAGCCGCGGUGAUACGUAGGGUGCGAGCGUUGUCCGGAUUUAUUGGGCGUAAAGGGCUCGUAGGUGGUUGAUCGCGUCGGAAGUGUAAUCUUGGGGCUUAACCCUGAGCGUGCUUUCGAUACGGGUUGACUUGAGGAAGGUAGGGGAGAAUGGAAUUCCUGGUGGAGCGGUGGAAUGCGCAGAUAUCAGGAGGAACACCAGUGGCGAAGGCGGUUCUCUGGGCCUUUCCUGACGCUGAGGAGCGAAAGCGUGGGGAGCGAACAGGCUUAGAUACCCUGGUAGUCCACGCUGUAAACGGUGGGUACUAGGUGUGGGGUCCAUUCCACGGGUUCCGUGCCGUAGCUAACGCUUUAAGUACCCCGCCUGGGGAGUACGGCCGCAAGGCUAAAACUCAAAGGAAUUGACGGGGCCCCGCACAAGCGGCGGAGCAUGCGGAUUAAUUCGAUGCAACGCGUAGAACCUUACCUGGGUUUGACAUGGAUCGGGAGUGCUCAGAGAUGGGUGUGCCUCUUUUGGGGUCGGUUCACAGGUGGUGCAUGCCUGUCGUCAGCUCGUGUCGUGAGAUGUUGGGUUAAGUCCCGCAACGAGCGCAACCCUUGUUCACUGUUGCCAGCACGUUAUGGUGGGGACUCAGUGGAGACCGCCGGGGUCAACUCGGAGGAAGGUGGGGAUGGCGUCAAGUCCUCAUGCCCCUUAUGUCCAGGGCUUCACGCAUGCUACAAUGGCUGGUACAGAGAGUGGCGAGCCUGUGAGGGUGAGCGAAUCUCGGAAAGCCGGUCUCAGUUCGGAUUGGGGUCUGCAACUCGACCUCAUGAAGUCGGAGUCGCUAGUAAUCGCAGAUCAGCAACGCUGCGGUGAAUAAGUUCCCGGG
rnacentral:rRNA from 1 species